CCCGGAGAAGAAGCCCCGGCUAACUCCGUGCCAGCAGCCGCGGUAAUACGAAGGGGGCUAGCGUUGCUCGGAAUUACUGGGCGUAAAGGGCGCGUAGGCGGACAGUUUAGUCAGAGGUGAAAGCCCAGGGCUCAACCUUGGAAUUGCCUUUGAUACUGGCUGUCUUGAGUACGGGAGAGGUGAGUGGAACUCCGAGUGUAGAGGUGAAAUUCGUAGAUAUUCGGAAGAACACCAGUGGCGAAGGCGACUCACUGGCCCGUUACUGACGCUGAGGCGCGAAAGCGUGGGGAGCAAACAGGAUUAGAUACCCUGGUAGUCCACGCCGUAAAC
rnacentral:rRNA from 1 species